rnacentral:rRNA from 1 species
AUUGAACGCUGGCGGCAUGCCUUACACAUGCAAGUCGAACGGCAGCAUGGAGAGCUUGCUCUCUGAUGGCGAGUGGCGAACGGGUGAGUAAUGCAUCGGAACGUACCGUGUAAUGGGGGAUAACGUAGCGAAAGUUACGCUAAUACCGCAUACGACCUGAGGGUGAAAGCAGGGGAUCGCAAGACCUUGCGUUAUACGAGCGGCCGAUGUCAGAUUAGCUAGUUGGUGAGGUAAAGGCUCACCAAGGCGACGAUCUGUAGCGGGUCGGAGAGGAUGAUCCGCCACACUGGGACUGAGACACGGCGCAGACUCCUACGGGAGGCAGCAGUGGGGAAUUUUGGACAAUGGGGGCAACCCUGAUCCAGCCAUGCCGCGUGGGUGAAGAAGGCCUUCGGGUUGUAAAGCUCUUUCGGCCGGGAAGAAAUCGCACAGGCUAAUACUCUGUGUGGAUGACGGUACCGGCAUAAGAAGCACCGGCUAACUACGUGCCAGCCGCCGCGGUAA